rnacentral:rRNA from 1 species
UGAGGAAUAUUGCGCAAUGGGGGCAACCCUGACGCAGCAACGCCGCGUGAGUGAGGAAGGUUUUCGGACCGUAAAGCUCUGUCGAGCGGGAAGAAAUGCAUGGUGGCUAAUAUCCAUCAUGCUUGACGGUACCGCUAAAGGAAGCACCGGCUAACUCCGUGCCAGCAGCCGCGGUAAUACGGGGGGUGCGAGCGUUGUUCGGAAUUAUUGGGCGUAAAGAGCGUGUAGGCGGCCGAAUAAGUCAGAUGUGAAAUCCCUGGGCUUAAACAAGGACGGGCUUUUGAAACUAUUCGGCUAGAGUAGGGGGAAGGAAAGUGGAAUUCCUGGUG